rnacentral:rRNA from 1 species
UACGUAGGCAGCGAGCGUUGUUCGGAGUUACUGGGCGUAAAGGGUGUGUAGGCGGUUCUUUAAGUUUGGUGUGAAAUCUCCCGGCUCAACCGGGAGGGUGCGCCGAAUACUGAGGGACUUCGAGUGCGGGAGAGGAAAGUGGAAUUCCUGGUGUAGCGGUGAAAUGCGUAGAUAUCAGGAGGAACACCGGUGGUGUAGACGGCUUUCUGGCCUGCUCUUGACGCUGAGGCGCGACAGCGUGGGGAGCAAACAGG